CCUACGGGUGGCUGCAGUGGGGGAUAUUGCACAAUGGGGGAAACCCUGAUGCAGCGACGCCGCGUGGGUGAAGAAGCGCCUCGGCGCGUAAAGCCCUGUCAGCAGGGAAGAAAAUGACGGUACCUGAAGAAGAAGCCCCGUCUAACUACGUGCCAGCAGCCGCGGUAAUACGUAGGGGGCAAGCGUUAUCCGGAUUUACGGGGUGUAAAGGGGGCGCAGACGGCGAUGCAAGCCAGGAGUGAAAGCCUGGGGCCCAACCCCGGGACUGCUAUUGGAACUGGGUGGCUAGAGUGCAGGAGGGGCAGGCGGAAUUCGUGGUGUAGCGGUGAAAUGCGUAGAUAGCAGGAGGAACACCGGUGGCGAAGGCGGCCUGCUGGACUGCAACUGACAUUGAGGCCCGAAAGCGUGGGGAGCAAACAGGAUUAGAUACCCGAGUAGUC
rnacentral:rRNA from 1 species